rnacentral:rRNA from 1 species
ACAGCAGCCGCCGCGGUAAUACGAACCGUGCGAACGUUAUUCGGAAUCACUGGGCUUAAAGCGCGUGUAGGCGGCCCGGCACGUCGGACGUCGAAAGCCCCCGGCUCAACCGGGGAAGUGGCGCCGAUACGGCCGAGCUGGAGGGAGGUAGGGGGGUCUGGAACUUCCGGUGGAGCGGUGAAAUGCGUUGAGAUGUGGAGGAACACCAGUGGCGAAGGCGACUCUCUGGUCUGUAACUGACGCUGAGGAGCGAAAGCGUGGGGAGCGAACAGGAUUAGAUACCCGCGUAGUCCCUGUCUCUUAUU